AGCGGCUUUCUGCGGAGAAAUUGGGGGCGCGGUUUUGAAAAGAGGUCCGAAGGGGGAAUGUGAGUGAAUAGAGGCCGGUCUGUUUUCCAAACCAGUUCGCAACGGAUUAGCUUCUCAAUUUUUUUUUUUUUUCCUGUGUAUUCUCUGCAACACGAGGGACAUGGCUUCACAGUGAUUUCCGUGAGCGUCUCUAAAGAAGGACCAAGGACGGGUGUGGUGGAGGUGAGGAAGCCGCUCUAAACUGGCUACGCUGAGGCAGGCGUGGAUGUACCUCCGCAAUCGCGAAUAUAACUUGGGAAGAGCGGCGCGAUUUUCCGGCCCUCUGGUGGUCCCGGCGCGUGCGGGCGGCUAUUCAUUGCUAAGACGCUGCUCACUGUUAAUUCGGAAAGAGAAAAAAAAUCACCGUUUUCCAGCAUUUUUUUUUGGAGAACAAAACAAUAGGGAAAAUGUCCAUUUUCCCUAAAAUAUCUUUGAGACUUGAGGUUGAAAAGUAUCUUAAAGAGGGUUUUAUGAAUAAGGAGGUUGUAUCUGCUUUUGGGAAACAAGAAGCAGAAAGGAAAUUUGAAACUCUGUUAAAUCACUUGUCACAUCCUCCAUCAUUCACAACUGUCAGAGUAAAUACACAUCUAGCCUCAGUGCAACAUGUGAAAGAUCUGUUGUUUGAUGAACUUCAGAAGCAGUUUAAUGGAUUAAGUGUUCCUAUUCUUCAACAUCCAGACCUUCAGGAUGUCUUACUUAUUCCUGUUAUUGGACCUAGGAAGAAUAUAAAAAAACAACAUUGUGAAGCAGUUGUUGGAGCACAAUGUGGCAAUGCGGUGUUAAGAGGAGCCCAUGUCUAUGUUCCAGGAAUUGUGUCAGCUUCAAAACUUAUGAAAGCUGGAGAUGUUAUUUCUGUAUACUCUGAUAUAAAAGGCAAAUGUAAGAAAGGAGCCAAAGAAUUUGAUGGAACAAAAGUAUUCCUUGGAAAUGGAAUUUCUGAACUAAGCCGCAAAGAAAUCUUCAGUGGGCUACCUGAACUGAAAGGUAUAGGCAUAAGAAUGACAGAACCGAUAUAUCUCAGCCCCUCAUUUGACAAUGUACUGCCCAGCUACUUAUUUUUACAGAAUUUGCCAUCUGCUGUAGUAACUCAUGUUCUGGAUCCUCAACCCGGAGAGAAGAUACUAGAUUUGUGUGCAGCACCUGGAGGCAAAACAACACACAUUGCAGCAUUAAUGCAUGAUCAGGGAGAAGUAAUAGCACUGGAUAAAAUAUCCAACAAAGUAGAAAAAAUUAAACAGAACGCUUUAUUGUUAGGACUGAAUUCCAUCAAGGCAUUUUGCUUUGAUGGAACAAAGGCUCUUAAACUCAGUACAGUUAAGGAUGCUGAAGGAAAACCUCCAUUCUUACCAGAAUCUUUUGACCGAAUUCUUCUUGAUGCACCAUGCAGUGGAAUGGGACAGAGACCAAACAUGGUUUGUUCUUGGACUUUGAAAGAAGUGACAUCAUAUCAGCCGUUACAGAGAAAACUCUUCACUGUGGCAGUUGAGCUGCUGAAGCCCGGGGGCGUGCUGGUUUAUAGCACAUGCACCAUCACACUGGCAGAAAAUGAAGAACAGGUUGCCUGGGCCCUCAGAACAUUUCCUUACCUUCAGCUUCAGCCCCAGGAACCACAGAUUGGAGGAGAAGGAAUGAUGGGAGCUGGCCUCUCACUGGAACAAUUGAAACAGCUGCAGCGAUUUGAUCCAUCUGUCGUGCCAUUACGGGACACUGACAUUGAUUCCCUCAGAGAUGCCAGAAUAGAAGACAUGAUUUGGCUGGCAAAUAAGGAUUGUAUAGGGUUUUUUAUUGCAAAAUUCAUAAAAUGCAAAAGCACAUAGAAGGAUCCUUAGAAAUGAAAAUUGCGAAUGUUUGCUGUAUGGUUUUCUUUCUUUUUUUUUUUUUUACCCAGCUGUUGUCGGGUCUGGUGAUGGAUGGCAUAGUUGCUAAGGAAGCAGAAAAGACUGUCAGCAGUUGGACCAGGGACCAAGAGAUUUGACCAAGAGACUCUACUUCAUGGAGGAAGUAGUUGGGGGUGAUUUAUUGAUUUAUUUGAGAGAGAGAGAGUGUGAGUGAGAGCGGCUAAGGGAGAGGGAGAGAGAAUCUCAAGCAGACUCCGUGCUGAGCACAGAGCAUGACACUGGGCUCGAUCUCAACGACGCUGAGCUUGAAACCAGGAGUUGGAUGCUUAACCAACUGAGCCAUCCAGGUGCCCCUUAAAUCAACUCUUUCAAAUGAAGUCUAGAUCUCUCCUAAAUGGUUUCUAUUAGGAAUUUCUCUGACUGUUGUGUCCAUCAAGAUGGCAAGGUCUCUUGGAUCAGGAGCAAAAACAAGGAGCCAGCGGAUGAAUGCCUUCCUAGUCACCUUUGGCAGCAAGCUUCCUCACAUUCCCUGACUGCUCAAUAGAUUCUCAAAGCAACACGUAGCACAAUUAAAUACAAAGCCAGGCAGAGUCUCGACUCUCCUGGGUUUCCGAGUCAAAUGUCUCCUGCCUGGAGAGGCCUCGACUCGUCCCACUGCGAUGGCUGUGGUGCUGGGCAGAGGAGGAGGAGGACCGGUGCUGGGGCUUCUUGACGGGUUCCGGGCAGGGUUCAUCUUCAGCUUGGGAGGCAGCCCGGGCAGGAACGGAGCGCUCAGUCCUCUGAUCGCCGUGACGAGCCUAGCAGGGAAGGGAGCAAACACAGGCAUCAACCAAGGACAUGUGUCAGUGAAACUGGAUGGUGGUGGUGUUUUUAACUGGGAGCACUGUCUCCAUUCAUGGACACUAGCAGUUUUACCCACCACUGCUUUUGCACCCUCAGUGCAAAUGUCAAAACAGUGAAAAAGGAGAAUGAUGUCUUAGUAUUUUUAUGGAAAUAAUUUUGACUUCAUGGACUCUCUAGAAGUUUCUCAGAACCUUCCCCCAGGAAACCACGGACCACACUUUGGGAAUUGCUGUUCUAAGCCAUGAAACUAAGAUUCAAGUAAGCAAAGCAUGAUUAUUAAAGACUUGACUACCCUGUCUCAUCAAACUCUUUAUGAUGGAUAGAGAUAUAGCUUGUUAUAACUGUAAAGCAAAACAUAUACAAUUAGUUAGGUUUGAUUAGAGAGCAAAUAACAACCCUACUUACCUUAGGAGAAGAAAUCUUUACAUAUACUAUAAUAGGGGCCAAAGAAGUUUUACUGAGUUGAGCUGGAUGAUUAAUAGUAUCCGCAUCAAGGACUACCAGUUGCAAUGUUCUUGCAAGUUCAAAAAUCCUUUCGAUUUCACUCUGAACUUCCGCUGUAAAAGGUUAAGCAGAGUUCAAUUAAAGUAUUUUUAAACCAAAUUGAAAUAAAAAUGGUACACUGUUUCUUCAACAAGAAGGGAAGUAGGGCAGCCAAUAGGUUCAUGUUUACAGGCAAUCAAGGUGAUAAAAGGUAUCUUUUGGAAAGAGCUGGCUCUCCACAGAACCUUUAGAAUUGAGGGAAUUCGUCUCUCAACCAGCUCUAAAAUUUGCUUCCAGUGUAACACUCUUCGUGCUAUAAAACUUCUCUGUGAAAUCAUUUCAUAAAGACAUUGUAAAAUACAAACUUAAGGAUAUCUUUAACGUGUCUGUUUCUGACCAUGUUACCAUAGCAACUAUCACCAUGUUUCUUUUCACUGCAUCAGCUUAAUCUGUGUUUAUACUGUCACCUAUUGGUAUGCUUUCUGGAUAUGAUAACCUAGAUAUGUUUAUUAGCAAGGUGAAAUCCAACAUAAAAUAGGAGGGACGUUAAUAGUAUCUGUAACAAACUUGUCCAAAAACACAGAACUGGUGGUUGCCAGAAGGGAGAGGGGCGGAGGAGGGGGUGAAAAAGAUAAGGGGAUUAAGAGUACACAUAUCUUGAUGAGCACUGAGAAAUGUAUAGAACUGCUGAAUCAUUAUACUAUACACCUGAAACCAGUAUAACACUGUAUGUUAAUUACACUUCAAUAAAAAAGGGAGAGAGGUGAGAAAUGUAUCUGUACUAGAGAUUUUCCUUUGACAGAGUCCAUCAUGCUCAGAAUUUCAAAAAACAAAUGGCCAAAGACUUCCUUAGCAUUCUUUCCUGAAAUUGAAAAGCAGUCUUAAAGUCAGUUUAUUCCAUCAAUAUCGUCCUACCCAGUGAAAGGAUGCACACUCCGCAUCUUGAAGAUGGGCAGGCCUUACUCAUCUGUCCACAUCCUACAGUCCCUCAUACCCACGGAGUUAAAAUUGGCACUGGUAAAAUGAGUAACAUUUUUGUCAGUGCUUUAUAUCUGACAUUGAAAAGCAAUACUCAGGAACAAUCAUAAUGUUUUCUCCAAGACAAGAAAAAGUUAACUUCUGUAGAAGUUUCUGUAACUGAACAAUACUUGUAAAAAUAGAGUGAGGAGAUUGUUACUUUCAUUGUGUUAUAGGAAAUCUAAGUGGUCAGUUAAUAAUAAAACUAUGAUAUCAUUCUAGUAUCAGUUAUUGAAUGAUAACUGCAAUGCCAUUUGCAUAAUCACUAAGCACAAAACUCUAAUUCUGACAAGUGCCUUCUUUGUCCCCAAAAAAGGAAAUCUCUAAAGCCUUCUCUAAGCACCUUUUCCUUUCCCCAAGCCCAGUUAAGUUCUGCCUCUGUGUUCCUAACUCCCUGGCACCAAAGUGGCUUGGGGCAGAAAUAGUCUUCAUUACUUCAUAGAGCUAUGUGAUCCUUGGGAAACAUACUUAACUUCUUGGAGCCUCAGUAUUCUUUUCUGGAAAAUGGAAAUGAGAAUUAAAUGAACCAACAUACAAACCAUCUAUUACAGUGUCUGGCCCAUAGUAAGUAAUAGAUGUCAAGUACCGCUGACCCUUGAGCAACAUGGGUUUGAACUGUGCGGGUCCCUUAUAUGCAGAUCUUUUCAAUAAGUACAAUACAGAACCGUCAAUGUUUCUCUUAGGAUUUCCGUAACAGUUUUUUCUCUAGCUUACUUUAUUCUAAGAAUACAGUAUAUAGUACAUCUAACAUACAAAACGUGUGCUAAUCAACUGUUCAUGUUAUCAGUAGGGCUUAGGGUCAGCAGUAGGCUAUUCAGUUUUUGGGGAGUCAAAAGUUAUACCUGGAUUUUCCAUGUGGGGGUUGGUGCCUCUAACCCCCAUCAUUCAGGGGUCAACUGUAGUGCUUUGUACCUACCUCUAUUAACAAUUAUCCCGCUGAAUUUCAAUGACAGGAUUGAAAAUGUUCCCAACAGGCAGUGAACCGAGAGAACAAUACAUAAUUAGUUCUAUUCCUUCCCUUACAAUACAGUGCCUGGUACAAAGUUGGCACUCAAAUUCUGUUGAAAGAAUGAGUCAAUUAAAUAACGAAUUUGACUACCAAAAUAUAUGUAGACAAAGUGAACUACUCCCCUUGGGUAGAGAUUGGUAGAGCUGGGCCAUCAAUGCUGUGUGAUGGAACAAAGAGUGUACUAAUUUCUCGAGACAGCUAUAAUGGUAAGAGAUCAAAAGGAGGAAAGAAAUUAGAUUCAAAAGAUCAACUAGUCACAUAAAUUCCACGUUCAUCUGCAAGGCUAAUUUUAUAGCCUUCUGUCAUCAGCCCUUCACUCUCCAUUCUUCCUAAGAGGGGGCAGAUGGUCAAGUAAAUGCAAUCAAGCGUCACUGCCACAUGGCACUGCUCAAUGGAAAAAAAAUCUGUACUGCUAGUCAAGAUCCCCAAGGGCCCAGUCUUAGUUUUAUACCUUAGUAUAAAACUACACAGAGCUAUUCAUUUCCUGUGGUUCUCAGAUUUUUUUUAAGAGAGAGAGAGAAUGCACACAUGAGUAGGGGGAGGGGGAGAGGGAGAAGCAGACUCCCUGCUGAACAGGGAGCCCGACGCGGGGCUCGAUCCUAGGACCCCGGGAUCAUGACCUGAGCCGAAGGCAGACGCUUAACCUACUGAGCUACGCAGGCGCCCCUGGUUCUCAGAUUCUUCACUGUGCAGUGACAGGCUUGAAGGAAGUUGGUAGUCCUCCCAUUUUGGCAUAUACAGUAGAAUCACCUGGCGGGCUUGUUCAAACAGACUAUAGGGCCCCACCUCUAGAGUUUCUGAUUCAGUAGGUCAGGUUUGGGUCUGAGAACUGUCAUUCCUAACUAAUGUCCCAUGAUGUUGACGCUGUUGAUUUGGAGAACACACUUCAAGAACCACUGAACUGAAUGCUCUCAGGUUUGUCACCCCAGUUCUAAAGUCUGUGGUGCUAUAACAUAAGUGAUGAGCUUUGCUUAGUUGAAACUUUUACUGAGAUAAUUAUAAAUUCACACGCAGUUGUAAGAAAAACACAGAGCUCCCUUGUACCCUUUACCCAGUUUUCCCCAGUGGAAACCUCUUGCAAAACUAUUGUGCAGUAUCACAACCAAAAUGUUACUGUGAUCCACCAAUCCUAUUCAGACUUCUCCAGUUUUCCUGUACUCCCUGCAUGUAUGUCUAUUUAGCUGUAUAGAAUUUUAUCAUAUGUGUUGGUUCAUGUGUCAGCACUACAGUUAAGAGGAACCUUUCCAUCACAAGAAUAAGUGGCAAAAUAAAUGGUCUAAGCUAGCUCUUCAAUUGGGUUAAAAUACUUACCAGGUUGGAAACAUUGUUAUCUAUCCACCUGUGUUGCUAAUACACAAAGUAAAUGCCUUUCCUUACUCCUUGCAUGCCAUCAGCUACAACUGUUGCCAUGUGCGCAGCUAAAUCCGCCUUUGCUUCCUUAACUCUUGCAUAUUUGCUCAAUAUUUUCCCACCUUUAGCACACAGUUUUUGCUCUUGUGUGGUACACACAGGCAUUAUAUUCACAUCUCUGUGUACAAACGUGUGCAAAGAUGUACCAUCUUUCCCUAAAUUGAUUUGUCUCUGGGAAAGUGCUUGGGGUAAAACCAAACCAUACUUUUGAAGAAGUUGGGCAGUUUGAAGAAACACCAAGGUGACUCCUCUUAGAAAGCAAUAAUAUCAUUAUCUAAAUAUAUUACUUUUAAAAGUUUGGACUUGGGGCGCCUGGGUGGCUCAGCUGGUUAAGCUACUGCCUUCGUAUGAUCCUGGAGUCCUGGGAUCGAGUCCCACGUCGGGCUCCCUGCUCAGCGGGGAGUCUGCUUCUCCCUCUGACCCUCUUCCCUACUCAUGCUAUCAUUCUCUCUCUCAAUAAUAAAUAAAAUCUUAAAAAAAAAAAGUUUGGACUUGGAAUUGGCAAAUAACUGGGUACCCACACCCAUAACUAUUUACAUUCAAAUAAUAUUUUUAUUUCUAAGAAUGCAAUGUUCUUUAUUUGCAUUCCCUACGUUUGAAUAGCUAAUGUAGAUAUCUUAAAUUGUGAUGCAACGGGGACAAAAGGUUAGAACUUGAUGAGUCUUAUGAGUAUAAAUAAAGCCAUGUGUCCGUGCAGAGAAGUCCUGUACCACCCCAAAACAGCAAAGAAGAUGUACUUAAGUCUUCAGAUUUUUCAGGGUUUUCUUUUCCUUCCUAUCAUACAGAGGUCCAUCAGCAUAAUAAACUCCAAAGGCAACAUACUAUACUUUUGUUUAUAUAACAGAAGUUGUCUAAAGCAAAUUUUUACCUAUCAAAUUAUAUCUUCACUCUGCUGGAUCUUUCAUCCUUUUGUAAAAGAGAUAAAUGCUGAAAUUGAUCUCCUCUAUUAGAUUUGAGGUAGAUCUUCUCAAAUUUAACCUCAACUAAAUAUAGAAGAAUCUUAAGGUAUAGCAUAUCCACAUAUACGUACAUUCCUGGAGUGUUCAAGUAUCAGUUUUGUACUGUUAGAUCAUAAAUAUGUUUCCUAUACAAUAGAGUCCACAUAACAUGCAUAACUUGUUACUCAACAUGUUGUAGUGACACAGAAGAGGUAUCAGCUGACCAUUCUCCUGUCUGUUAUCAUGACUUAUUUCCUAGUGCUGCCAUAAAAAAUAAAAAUCCUCACACUUACAGAGGAACCUACCCCUGUGUUUCCCUGGGAGCAGACUCCGUAUUUGCUAGUACAGUGUUCACGGAGACUUUAUAGAACGUAACUACUGUGACUAUUGAGAACUGACUGCAUCUGAACCCCCAUCCUCUGUGCCAAGUUCCAGGUCUGUACGUACAAGUGAUUGCCUGCUGGGUAUUUGGAUGCAAAUUCAACGUGUGCACAAAUGCAGCUGUCAUUUUCCUUAUCCCCAAUUCAGGCCACUCCCUCUAGCUCCUCAUCCUGAAUCCCUUCUCCCCAGAAUAACACCAUCAGUGACCCAGCUUCUGAAAGCAAAACCUUAGAGAUCAUGCUGGAGUUGGCUUCUUCAUGUUCCAUAGAUUGCCCAUACCGGACUCUCUUAUCUCUGGAUUCCUUUCAUUCUACUCAUCCCCUGUGCCACUGUCUUAUUUCAGUCCUCUCUUAACCUCUACCUUGAGUGAUGAUGACAGCCUACAAAAUGACCUCCCUGUCCAACUCUUGCCCCAUCUCCACCCCACUACUAUAGGGAUUCUCCUAAAGGCACCAGUUUUAUAGUUUCUGCACAGAGUACAUUAUUUCUCCCUGAAUCUGCUUCAACAGAAUCUUGAGUUUUUCCCUGAGUUGGCUCUUGCCCCGUUCCAUUUUCUUCUCCACAAUGCUGUAGGCGAUCCUUCUAAAACACAAGUCCUGUCGUGUCAUAUGGUCUGCUUUCCUACACCUUUCUACCAACAUCCACAAUAAAAGCCCUAUAGAGUCCUACAUGAUCAGGCACCAUCUCUCUGACCUCCUGCCCCCUGGUCAUUCCACAUCUGUUACACUGGCUUCCUCACUAUCCCUUAAACAUAUCACACACAUUCCUGCCACGGGGCCUUUGCACCUUCAGUUCCCUCUGCCCAAAACAGUCUUUUCACAGGUAGCUGUAAGGCUAAAGAAUUCACAACAAAUCAUUCUGCUAAAAUGUCAUUUCCUCAAAGAGGCUCCUGUCUUCCCCAUGUAAAAUUACACUCUUCUCAGCUUACUCUCUACCCCUUGGCCUGCUUUUUCUUCCCAGACUCCUCAACCACUGACUCCUACAUCUAUAUCUUUUAUCUCAACACCCACCCCUCCCCUUACACACACUAUCCUGAAUAUGACAUAAUCACUGAUAAAAUUCCGUUACUGAGGGUCUUUGGAUAAUAGCUAUCCUUGAUGGAGAACACACUGUGUUUAAUCCUUACAAUAAUGCUACAGAGUAGUUAAUAUCUCUCUCUUCUGUUGUUGCUGUUGCCUAGAUGAGGAAAGGAGGCACUACAGAGGUCCAUGAGCUUGCUCAUGGUAACACCAAUGCAAAGCCAGGAAUUUUUAGUGUGUACACAGCAAAGCUCACAUUAGUCAAAACAAAACAAAACCCCACAACCAAAACAUUAAUGCUGACAGCCAGUGGAAUAUUUAACUCGAAACUAUCAUAACAAAUCUUUCCUUAGCAUGAAAUUACUAAAACUGUAGCACUAGCCACUGGCAACGUGGGUCCAUUUCUUCUUUGCUCUGUGACACAUGGAAUUAACCAUCUAGUUAGAGCUUCUCACUGGCAACCUCGGGAGAGAAAAGUUUAAAUAGGCUAAGCCCAAGUCUACUGCACAGACUUACCUAAGCUUGACCUUGUGUUGGAUCUUUCUAUUAUGGCAUGCUUGCUGGGAUUGUUUAACACUGAGCGCUUGGCGAGCGAGAUGUCAGCCGUGACCCUUGUGAUGGAUAUCCUGUUGGGGGAAAAGUAACACAAGACCCUGAGGUUAUUAAGUGAAUAUAAGGGGGUAGAAGUACAUUCCCCAAACUCACCUAAGUUUGAAAUACAUAGUGAACAGUAUUUUCAAAUGAAAAGAUGUUAGGGCACCGAAUCAUUCAUUUUUGCUUACCCUGCACCUCCUUACUUGGCAUUUAUCAUUUGCUUACCAAGUACUAAGCACUGUAAACUGGAUUACCUCCCUGAAUUAUCCCCAAAAUUCUAGCAGAGAGGCUUCUUCUAGUCCCACUUUUGCUGAUGAAGAAAAUGAGCCAAAGUAGGUUAUUUAUCCAAGGCUAUAUAUUUCUAAAAGGUGGAGCAGGGAUUUGAACCCAGACUCUGGAAAAUCUGGUUUCUUAGCCCCUGAACCAGAAGUGUGGUGCUAUGAUAAGCACAAAGAACAAGUAAGAGUAAGAACAAGACAAACAUGAUCUCUCCUCAGACAGCUAACAGUCUAGUGGAAGAGAUGGGCAAUAAAUAAGAAAAUUAACUGGUAAAAUUAACUAAAGCUCAAGAUGGCUGUUGUGGAGAAGACAGUGUUGUGUCAGGUAGUAAGGAGUUAGGGGGCCAUUUUAGGUAUGGUAGAAAUGACAGCACCACAAUCUGGAAGCUGGAAACAGUAAAAGGACUUAGACCAGAGAUAGCCAAAUAUACAAGUAAUAGAAAAAGCCGUGGGGUAAAAUAGAAGCCUCACAAUACCCUUGAAGACAACGGUAAAAGGGAGACUAAAAACAGAAGGUUUGGUGAAAGUCUGUUUCAGAGUUAGAGCCCUCCACCUCCCUUCUGUUACAUGAAGUUGCCAGGUGAUGCUCCUUUCCCUGUGUGAUAGAAGAUUGCUGGUUUAUUCUCUACAGACAGUAACAUGCAGGGCCUGUGACCAGGAGACCCCAGGCAGAGUGAGGACAGGGACACUAGAUGGAAAAGAAAGGAUUCUAAAUGGUGAGCCCCCAGCCUCUUCCCCAUCUUGAGAAUUUUGAUAGCCAGGCUUCCAUCCUCCAGGGGUCAGAAUGGAAGCGCUUUUUCCCUGGGACAUCUGACUGCCAAAGGGAAAAAGACUCCAAAACAGUAACACUGGAGGUUUCCUAUGGACAUGGUCCAGUGAGGUUGUCCUAUAGGGAAGCACAAAGCUGACAAGCUCCAUCUAUGAGCACGGAAUUUCCAAGUGAUUAUGUGAUGUCCCAUUUUUAAAUUGGAGCACCAUAGUGUUCACUGAGCAUCUUAAGGAAAACCUCUCAUAUGAGAGCCCAAACAAACGGAAGUCAGUAAGUGAACAAUACAGCUGACUCCUGCAACAACAUGGGGGUCAGAGGCAUGGACAUCCUGUGUUAUCAAAAAUCCACAUAGAGCUUUUGGCUUAACUACUAGUAGCCUACUGUUGACUGGAAGCCUUACCAAUCACCUAAACAGUCUAUUAACAGAUGUUCUGUAUGUUACAUAUAUUAUAUGUUGUAUUCUUACAACUAUACCUAGGUUUUUCUUAAUUUUUCCAGAUCGUCACAGUCCUCCCCCAAAUUUUCCAACAUAUUUAUUGGGAAAAAAAAAAUCCUCCUAGAAGUGGAGCCACAUAGUUCAAAGCCCUAUUUUUCAAGGGUCAGCUGUAUUCAAACGUGAAAGCUAAGAAAUUGUUAUAUCUGUGAAACUGUAACAAAUUUCUAUUUAUUUGUUUGCUUACUUUAAAGAUUUUAUUUAUUCAUUUGAGAGAGAGAGAGAGAGAGAAAGCACAAGCUGGGGAAAGGGCAGAGGGAGAGGGAGAAACAGACUCCCUACUGAGCUGGGAGCUGGACGUGGGGCUCGAUCCCAGGACCUGGAGAACAUGACCUGAGCCGAAGGCAGACGCUUAACCAUCUGUGCCACCCAGGCGCCUCAAAUUUCUAUUUAAAAAGUCAGAAUGAGUUUUUGGCAAUUAAAAAUGAUAGUAGAAAGAAAAAUUCAAAAGAAGAGAGCUGGGACAUAAAAGUUAAACUCUGAAGGGUCAAACAAACAAGGCAAAGAGAAAGAACACAGAAGAAAAGCUAUACAAAUGAGAGAAUCACCCAGGAGUUUCAACUUCCAAAUAACAAGAACUCCAGAAAAAAGAGUAAAGAAAGCAGAGAAACUUAAAAAAAAAAAAAAAAAUCCAGAAUUAAGAAUCUUGAUUUUCCGAAUCGACAAGGUCCAGCACAGACAGAGGUUGAGAGUUCUAUUACUGGGACGUACUCUUACAAAUUUCAUGACACAGAAGACAAAGAAGAAAGACAGGUCCCACACCGAGGGUCAGAAAUGGAAGUGUUCUGUACUUCUCAACAUUGGAAGCCAGAAGAGAAUGGGGCAGAGUUUUUUCAAAAUCCUAAAGGGAAAUUAUUUCAGCCAGAAUUCUCUAGCCGUUUUAACUCUCAGUGAAAUGGGAGGGUUGAUGAAAGACACUUCUAGACAUUCAGGGCCUCAAAAAGUUAUGUACUUUUAUAGGGAAACUAUUGGAGGAUGCUGUUAAACUGAAAUGACAGAGUAAAACCGUAGAUCAAUGGAUCUAAGGAAAAGGGGCUCUGACCCAAGAGGAAAGUGAAAGGAAUCCCAAGAAUAAUGGUGAAGGAUGUCCCGGAAUGACAAAUGUGCACCCAUCAAAGAGAGAAACCAUCCAGACUAGAGAUGGCCAGAACGCUCCCGGAGGUUCAAGAAGACAACACUGAGUGACGACAGGGUGCAUUUCAGUAUUACCGUGAGGAGGUUCAGACAGCUGGGGAGUUCAGGGCUGAAUUAAUGCCAAACACAGAGGAAGUUAAGCGAGCGUAAAAAGUAAAAUUACUUAUCUCAUGGAAAACACAGAGGACAAAGUCAUUAUGGUGUAUAGUAUGGCUCAUUUGAAUAUUAUCCACAGAGUCACAAUACAUCCUAAGAAAUGGAGCCAGCUGAAAUUAGGAUUUAACUGUUGGGAGACUGAAGGCGGAGAUGGGCGCAGGAUGGGAGAGACAGGAAGAGAAUAUGCACGAGAGCUACAUAUUCUGCGAGGUAGGAAGGUAGCAAAUCAAGAUUGCACGUUAUUUAGAGGCAAGCAGUAAAUAACCAAAAGAUACAGCUAAAACAGUUUAGAGUGCUUACCAAUUGAAGAGCAGGGCAUUUGGUAACGUGUGGGAAGGGACCCUGGCUUUUGCAAAGAAAUUUGUGUUUAUCUGUAUACCUUAGAAUUCAUUCUCUCUGGGGUAUAGUUCUCCAUGAAUUUGGACCAAUUCAUAGAAUUAUCUACCUGUAACCACAGUCAAGAAAUAAUUCCAUCCCCCCCCCCAAAAAAAAUCCCCUUGUGCUGCCCCCUUUGUUGUGAUGGGCACCCUCCUGGGGAUACAACGGUGACCAGACAGACGAGACAGCGGCGUCACCCAGUCAGCCUGUGGGGAACUGAUUCAGCAGCAGGACAGGAUUUUCUGUAGUAAUACAUCCUCCUUCUCCCACAUGCUUGGACCUUUCUGCACAUGUCACUGCUCAGCUGAGAAUCCACUGACCUGCUUCUGUGGUUAGCACUGUAGGCUAUGAAGUUGGGUCACUAUUCUAUUUCAACUCCUACAGUUAUGCUUUGGGAAUUGUCACUACUUG